AGAGUUUGAUUCUGGCUCAGAACGAACGCUGGCGGCGUGGAUAAGACAUGCAAGUCGAACGAGAGAAUUGCUAGCUUGCUAAUAAUUCUCUAGUGGCGCACGGGUGAGUAACACGUGAGUAACCUGCCCCCGAGAGCGGGAUAGCCCUGGGAAACUGGGAUUAAUACCGCAUAGUAUCGAAAGAUUAAAGCAGCAAUGCGCUUGGGGAUGGGCUCGCGGCCUAUUAGUUAGUUGGUGAGGUAACGGCUCACCAAGGCGAUGACGGGUAGCCGGUCUGAGAGGAUGUCCGGCCACACUGGAACUGAGACACGGUCCAGACACCUACGGGUGGCAGCAGUCGAGAAUCAUUCACAAUGGGGGAAACCCUGAUGGUGCGACGCCGCGUGGGGGAAUGAAGGUCUUCGGAUUGUAAACCCCUGUCAUGUGGGAGCAAAUUAAAAAGAUAGUACCACAAGAGGAAGAGACGGCUAACUCUGUGCCAGCAGCCGCGGUAAUACAGAGGUCUCAAGCGUUGUUCGGAAUCACUGGGCGUAAAGCGUGCGUAGGCUGUUUCGUAAGUCGUGUGUGAAAGGCGCGGGCUCAACCCGCGGACGGCACAUGAUACUGCGAGACUAGAGUAAUGGAGGGGGAACCGGAAUUCUCGGUGUAGCAGUGAAAUGCGUAGAUAUCGAGAGGAACACUCGUGGCGAAGGCGGGUUCCUGGACAUUAACUGACGCUGAGGCACGAAGGCCAGGGGAGCGAAAGGGAUUAGAUACCCCUGUAGUCCUGGCAGUAAACGGUGCACGCUUGGUGUGCGGGGAAUCGACCCCCUGCGUGCCGGAGCUAACGCGUUAAGCGUGCCGCCUGGGGAGUACGGUCGCAAGAUUAAAACUCAAAGAAAUUGACGGGGACCCGCACAAGCGGUGGAGUAUGUGGCUUAAUUCGAUGCAACGCGAAGAACCUUACCUGGGCUUGACAUGUAAUGAACAACAUGUGAAAGCAUGCGACUCUUCGGAGGCGUUACACAGGUGCUGCAUGGCCGUCGUCAGCUCGUGUCGUGAGAUGUUUGGUUAAGUCCAGCAACGAGCGCAACCCCUGUUGCCAGUUACCAGCACGUGAAGGUGGGGACUCUGGCGAGACUGCCCAGAUCAACUGGGAGGAAGGUGGGGACGACGUCAGGUCAGUAUGGCCCUUAUGCCCAGGGCUGCACACGUACUACAAUGCCCAGUACAGAGGGGGCCGAAGCCGCGAGGCGGAGGAAAUCCUAAAAACUGGGCCCAGUUCGGACUGUAGGCUGCAACCCGCCUACACGAAGC
rnacentral:rRNA from 1 species